rnacentral:rRNA from 1 species
UACGGGGGGGCAAGCGUUGUUCGGAAUUACUGGGCGUAAAGGGCUCGUAGGCGGCCAACUAAGUCAGACGUGAAAUCCCCCGGCUUAACCAGGGAACUGCGUCUGAUACUGGAUGGCUUGAGUUUGGGAGAGGGAUGCGGAAUUCCAGGUGUAGCGGUGAAAUGCGUAGAUAUCAGGAGGAACACCUGUGGUGUAGACAGCUUACUGGACCAUUUCUGACGCUGAGACACGAAAGCGUGGGUAGCAAACAGG